rnacentral:rRNA from 1 species
AGAUUGAACGCUUAGCGGUCAUGCCCUAACACAUGCAAGUCGAGGCGGCAGCGCGGGGGCGACCCUGGCGGCGAGCGGCGGACGGGUGAGUAAGGCAUCGGAAUCUGCCCUGAUGUGGGGGAUAACGUAGGGAAACUUACGCUAAUACCGCAUACGACCGAGAGGUGAAAGCGGGGGACCGAAAGGCCUCGCGCAGCAGGAUGAGCCGAUGUCCGAUUAGCUAGUUGGUGGGGUAACGGCCUACCCAAGGCGACGAUCGGUAGUUGGUACUUGGAGAGGGAUGAUCAGCCACACUGGGACUGAGACAC